CUUAACACAUGCAAGUCGAGCGGGCGUAGCAAUACGUCARCGGCAGACGGGUGAGUAACGCGUGGGAACGUACCUUUUGGUUCGGAACAACACAGGGAAACUUGUGCUAAUACCGGAUAAGCCCUUACGGGGAAAGAUUUAUCGCCGAAAGAUCGGCCCGCGUCUGAUUAGCUAGUUGGUGAGGUAAUGGCUCACCAAGGCGACGAUCAGUAGCUGGUCUGAGAGGAUGAUCAGCCACAUUGGGACUGAGACACGGCCCAAACUCCUACGGGAGGCAGCAGUGGGGAAUAUUGGACAAUGGGGGCAACCCUGAUCCAGCCAUGCCGCGUGAGUGAUGAAGGCCCUAGGGUUGUAAAGCUCUUUUGUGCGGGAAGAUAAUGACGGU
rnacentral:rRNA from 1 species